CGCUGGCGGCAGGCCUAAAACAUGCAAGUCGAACGGGUGUAGCAAUACAUCAGUGGCGCACGGGUGAGUAACGCGUGGGAACGUGCCCUUCAGUACGGGACAACGUCGGGAAACUGACGCUAAUACCGUAUAAUGACUCCGGUCCAAAGAUUUAUCGCUGAAGGAGCGGCCCGCGUCUGAUUAGCUAGUUGGUGAGGUAAUGGCUCACCAAGGCUACGAUCAGUAGCAGGUCUGAGAGGAUGAUCUGCCACACUGGGACUGAGACACGGCCCAGACUCCUACGGGAGGCAGCAGUUAGGAAUAUUGGACAAUGGGCGAAAGCCUGAUCCAGCCAUGCCGCGUGUGUGAUGAAGGCCCUAGGGUUGUAAAGCACUUUCGUUGGGGAUGAUAAUGACCGUACCCAAAGAAGAAGCACCGGCUAACUUCGUG
rnacentral:rRNA from 1 species